ensembl:rRNA 5_8S_rRNA 5.8S ribosomal RNA
GACUCUUAGCGGUGGAUCACUCGGCUCGUAAGCGUCGAUGAAGAACGCAGCUAGCUGCGAGAACUAAUGUGAAUUGCAGGACACAUUGAUCAUCGACACUGAACGCACCUUGCGCCCCGGUUCCUCCCGGGCUACGCCUGUCUGAGCGCCG